AUUCUACUCCCUCCGUUGCACAAUACAUGCCUUCUAUUUGUCAAAAUAUAUAUGUAUCUAGACAUGUCUUAGUAUAUAGGUACAUCCAUUUUUGGACAAAUGGAAGUCAAGUAUUUUGGAACGGAGGGAGUACACA
rfam:Triticum aestivum genome assembly, contig: Triticum_aestivum_CS42_TGACv1_scaffold_112596_2AS